UGGUACCACUCCUUCCCAUCCCGAACAGGACAGUGAAACGAAUUUGCGCCGAUGAUAGUGCGGGUUCCCGUGUGAAAGUAGGUCAUCGUCAGGC
rnacentral:rRNA from 1 species